CAAAAAAAGUUUCCUAGUGUGAACCAGGUCAAAGCAAAGUUUAUCCAAAGCGGAAUGAUAAUUUAACAACAUUUUUAACCCGAAAAUUUAGCCGAUGCUUUAAGUCUCUUGAUCUUCUCCAAGUUGUUUAAUGUCUGUUCAGUUUAUACACUUAAUUUUACUUAUCAAUGAAAAUAAUAGUGAUAAUAAAGAUCAUUCAUUACAGAUAAGACUGUCGAUAGUAAAAAAAAAAUUGAGAGACAAUGACUCAUACAUAUACAAUUGUCCAAUUCACAAUCGAUGUCGUAUCAUUGUAACGUUGUAUGUCAUAAAAAUUUUUCAAAUAAAAUUUUUUUAAACAAAAACAAUUCAAUAAUAAAAAAUUACGACAUACUACGAUACAACUGUACAACACCGAUUGUGAACUAACAAAUAUGUUGCAAUCAAAAGAUACUAUUUCCGACAUAAUUCUAAAAUCAGAAAUAGAUAAUCGGGAAAUCGUUGUCACAGAAAACUAAAGGACCAAUAAGUUACUAUUUUUACUCUCUAUGAAAUGAGGAGCUGAAACACAAUGACCCAGCCAAAAAAUAACUUCCAAAGAAGCGUCAAGAAGUAAAAUUUACUCCAUGGAUGUACUAAAAGAUACCUAAAGAAUUGAUAAUUUAAACACAGGCUUAUCAUAGGAGAGAUGUCCUUUUUAUUUGAUUCCACAUUCACUACUUCUGAAGUCAUUCUUAAGAAGUAAUUCUUAAAGUAAUUCGAAAAAUGUUAUUAUUUUGGAAGUACUUCGCUUUAUUUAGCUGGGGACUUAUACAAGAAUGUCGAAGUACUUUACGUGAGUACCUGGCUUGUAGCCCUAUCCCACAGUGGUACUUUUUCAACCACUCGGCAACAGCACCGAGUUUAUCCCAAAAUAUUGACCUUACCUUACAUCAGUCCUUUAACCCCCACUAACACUUCCCGCAAAUUUAAGUUUAAACCACAAAAUCCUCCUGGCAACUGGCCAUUUUUUUGCCCUUUACUAUAUUUUCUGUCUUCUUUACUUUUUCCCCCACCUAAUAACUAUUAACAAGAUCCAACAAAGAUCUCUACAUUAACUGAUAUUUAAUGAUAAAAAAACACAAUUUUAAUUUCAAUCCGCAUUGUUUAUUUUCAUUUUCUUUUAAAUGCCAAAGUUACUUUAGAUAAAGACAGCCAAUAACUAAAAGCAACAAAGAAAAUAGUAAAAGAAAAAAGAAAUAAAUAAAUUAAAAAAUAACUUUUAUACAUAAAAUACACAUUUUUAUAAAUAUUAAAAAAAAGCGGCUCCCUCUCGAUGUUAUAACAAAUGGACAAGUUAAAUUAAUAUUUCAACAAUAAAAUAAAAAUCAAGGCUAACGGCCGAUAUCUGUUAAGAGAAAGAAAUUUAUUGAACUGAAUAUUGUCUUGAAUAUUAAAGUGAACAUGUUGCUGAGCCAAAGCAACAGCAGCAGCAAAAUUGAGUAGAUUGACAUCUCAGAAAAAUGCAAAAGUUGAAAAAUAAAAAAAGAGACCGGGUUUUUUCGUGUUGUUGUUGUUGCUGUUGUACGUAUUUCAAAAGUAUAAAACUUUUGGUUAAAACUUGCUUGUUUCAUUAGAUCGUUAUUGCUGCUGUUGUUGUUGCUGAUGUUGUGUGCAGCUUUUGCAAGUUAACUUGUUGCUGCAGUGAACUGACUGGCUGACUGGCUGGCUAACUGACGGAUUGUUUAGUUGGUUGGUUGCUUAAAUUACUUACCAGUUAGUUUACUUAAAGUUGUUUAACUUUUGUUUUGUUUCUUUUUAUAUUUGUUAAGUUAUCUGGUUUACCUUCUAACUGAAAGUGGAGUUUGUUGUUUCUUUAUUUUUUCUAUUUAAUAAGUAUUAAACCAUAAUAAACAUAGUGAUAGAAAGACAGACAGAUAGACAUUUAGACAGACAAUCUUAUUAACGGGGCAACAAAAUUAUGUGGUUUUUUGCAUUAAAAUUGUUUUUUAAGGUGACCGUAUAGCAACUAAACCGGUAUUAGUACUACAACUACUACUGCUGCCGCUGUACUUCAAGUACCAGUACAACUUGUUUAAAUUUUACUCAAACUACAUAUUGUUGUUAUUGGAGUAUUGCAUUUUUUUGAAGGUGUUGUGUAAAAAAAAAACAAACAACAUCAGUAGUUGUGUGCAGCAAGCAAGAGCAGCAUACUGCAACAUUUAAUAACAAACAAACUAUAAAAAACCCUUUCGCCAAAUUAGCUGUUGCAUGUAUCAUAUUUACACAAACAUAUCAAUGCCCCUAUUAUGGUUUACAACUCAACUCUACUUUAGUUGAAAUUGUUUUAUUUGUCAUUACCGAUUACAACUUAACCUGUCAAAAAUGUUUAAGUUGAAAUUAUAUCACAAUACAACUUUUUUGUGGUAUUAUCGUUUACAACCCUGUUUUAGUGUGGUUGACAAAAACGUCAAAAAAUACAACUCCAAAAUAGCAGUUGUUUUAAAUGUAUUAUUAAUAAAAAUAGAAAGCGGAAAAAACAGAGUUACAACAAAACAACAGUUUGAAAAACUUGUUGAACUAAUGGAGAAGCAUCCCGAAACAGGUCGAGGUAAACCGCAGUUUGGAUGCAGCAAAAAUAAAAAUAAAGAAUUGUGGGAGGAAUUUGCAUUGAUGCAUCCCAAAACUCCCGGAAACCCAGUUUUUGAAUAAAACCACAGUUUUGAGGCGUUUUGAUCUUCUUCAGACAUUUCAGUUUUUAUCCAUUUCGCGCAAACACGCUGCUCGAUGAUAUUUAAAACUUCUUUCAUAACAACACUUAUUGUAGGCUGCGCCAAUCCAACAUUAAAGUCGUUUCCAGAACUUAUUUGAUAACUCCCGUCAGCCAGAAAUCUGAGAGUUGCACAUAGCUUCAAUAUAGGGGGUAUAGCGGUACCUCGGACAGGUUUUUUGAAAUAAUCAUUUAGUUCAUUCAGAAGGAAGCAAAAGGCUUCCUUAUUUAAACGAAAAUACUGUAAGAAUCUACAAAAACAUCUAUAAAAAGUUAUUCAACUAU